UCUCUUUCUUUUGCUUUCCCCCCAAAAUUUCUCAAUGGCGACCGGUCCUGGCUCCGGCCGGGCGACUGAGGCUCGAUCCGGCGGGAAAAUAGUGACGAAUCGCCGGCGGAAGCUCACAACCGCCACCCCCUACGACCGUCCACCUCAGCCUCCACCUCAGGAAAGCCCUAAUUGGCUGACUGGCGUAAUUUUCCCUGCUACACGCAAGAUUGCAUCAGGUGCUGCUAAAAUUUUGUCCACCGUCUUCGAUUCGUCGUCUUCUUCGUCAUCCUCUUCUUCCGACAGCGAGGCUGCUAGCGAUGAUGAUGCUAAUCAAUCAAACAAGGAUCGUGAGAUUUUAUCAGAAGCACUUGAAUGUGUUGAUAAGGAGCCUCAACUAAGUUUGUAUAGCAGUGUGACAAAGAUUGCAAUUGAGCGACUGCUCACGCAGGAGAGUUUUUCUAGGGAAGAGCGUGAUAGACUUGUACAAAUUAUUGACUCUCGUGUCAUGAUGGGAGGGGAAGAGAAUAUUCUACCUACUGGUGUGCCUGUUGGAACAGUUGGCAACGAUACUGCUGAUCUAUGCACUAAAGCUGUUGCAGAAGCGAGGAAAUGGCUGGAGGAGAAGAGAGUGGAAUCAAGUCCGCUGUCAGACUUGGCUCACGAGUCUCAUGGUUUAAGCCAUAUCAAACUUCAACGUAGUGAAAAUGAAGCGGGCUCUCCUAUUGAUGUGGCCAAAUCGUACAUGAAGUCUCGUCCUCCAUGGGCCUCUCCGCUUGCAGAACAUAUUGAACUGCGAACAGCAUCAGCAAUCCCAUCAGAAAUGACAAGAGAGCUUUUCAGGGAAAAAACACCAGCUUCAUGUGGUGGCGGCUCUUUGUCUUCAUCCAAGAAAAGGAAUUUUGCAUCUUGUUCAUGGAAUAUUGAGGAGGAAAUACGAAGAGUACGAUCAAAGGCUUCAGAGGAUAUGCUAAAUUCCCUCUCUUCCUCAAAAAUUGAUCUGUCACCACUUGCAACUACACUUAAACCCCGCCAGGACUCUUUAAUAGCUGAUAUACCAAAUAGCAGAGGAGAUUUGGGAAACAAAUCGAACAUUGUGACUGGUACUCCAUCUGCUGAUGCAUCAGUACAUUUGGCUGCAGGGUUGAACACUUCUAUUGGAAUUUCAGCUUUGGAGACAAGACAAGAUGACUUAGCAAAUGAAAGUUUGACGCCCCAUCCGGCUGCUAUUGUUUCAGAAGAAUACCAGGACUUGGAAGCUUUCAAGAUUACUGAUGAAUGUCCUGGUUCAAAGUCCAAUCACGUUACUCUGGAUCUUGCCACAGAGCACCUUGAUGAAUUUAAUCAAAAAUUGACGAGGCAGUUGCAAAAUGAAUUCUUUGUACAAACCAAAAUUCCUAUGGACAGCAUCUCAUAUAAGAGGAGCCAAGAUCAAGUCAGACAAAAGUUUCUCCAGCAGGAGGAGUGAGAGAAUUUGAUGAAAUAGGAAAUGACAAUGGUCUUCAUACUUCGCAAGAAAGGGGUUUGUCUUUAGAAGUGGGAACCAGAGAAGUUGAUGGGCAAGCUCCUGAUGGAAACUCCAAAGCAGAUGGAAAUGAUUUGGGUACUACUAGUAGCAUUCCCCUUGAAGAUGCGCGUGAACUUAUAAGUGAAGCCUCCAUUGAAGUCCCAAUUGUGGAUGAAACGAAUGGUUUUGGGAAUGUAUCACAAACAAGUCCCGUUGUGCAUAAUGAGUUGUCGCAAGAGCCAACUCAACCUUACAUAGAUAAGGUAGCCCAGAAGGCUGAUGGCAAGGCGGUCAAACACGAAGCUAAGAAACCAGGUAAAUACAACCGGAGAGGCCGGGGAAGGGGUAAAUAGUGUUUCUCUUCAGGCAUUGCUGCUUGAGUUGUACACUAGCCUAAAUUUAGGUAUUCCACUUAGGUCUGUUGUAGAAUCAAGGGUGCUAAUGUUAGGCAGAAAGAAGUGUACUAUUUAGUGUUUAAGCAAUUGCAGGUUCAGUGUUGUAUUAGUCAUAUUUAUUUUGAUUUAAAUAUGGGAAAAUUUAUUUUGAUUUAAAUA